UCCUGAGGCCUCCCCAGCCAUGCUUCCUGUACAGCCUGUGGAACUAGCUGAAGACUCUAGGAUGUCAACUGUGGAUAUGUCAAGCAACUUACAAGCUACCAUAUUGAUGUGACAUGAUGAAGUGGGAAGGAAAGCCAUCUGGAGUUUCACUGGUGAAUUGAUACAUCUUGCACUUACCGUUGUGUAUCCCCCGGACUUUGAUCAAAUGGACAUGGGCUUUCUGAUCUGCAGAGUGCCUGGAAAUUCAGGCCUGAGCCCAAGCCAAGCCAUCGCAUCCCUGCGACUUGCACGUAUACGCCCAGAUGGUCUGAAGUAACUGAAGAAUCACAAAAGAAGUGCAAAUGCCCUGCCUCACCUUAACCGAUGACAUUCCACCACAAAAGAAGUGAAAAUGGACGGUCCUUGCCUUAAGU